GAUGAACGCUGGCGGCGUGCCUAAUACAUGCAAGUCGAGCGAACAGACGAGGAGCUUGCUCCUCUGACGUUAGCGGCGGACGGGUGAGUAACACGUGGAUAACCUACCUAUAAGACUGGGAUAACUUCGGGAAACCGGAGCUAAUACCGGAUAAUAUAUUUAACCGCAUGGUUCAAUAGUGAAAGACGGUUUUGCUGUCACUUAUAGAUGGAUCCGCGCCGCAUUAGCUAGUUGGUAAGGUAACGGCUUACCAAGGCGACGAUGCGUAGCCGACCUGAGUGGGUGAUCGGCCACACUGGAACUGAGACACGGUCCAGACUCCUACGGGAUGCAGCAGUAGGGAAUCUUCCGCAAUGGGCGAAAGCCUGACGGAGCAACGCCGCGUGAGUGAUGAAGGUCUUCGGAUCGUAAAACUCUGUUAUUAGGGAAGAACAAAUGUGUAAGUAACUAUGCACGUCUUGACGGUACCUAAUCAGAAAGCCACGGCUAACUACGUG
rnacentral:rRNA from 1 species